rnacentral:rRNA from 1 species
GACGAAGGAUGCAAGCGUUAUCCGGAUUCAUUGGGUUUAAAGGGAGCGUAGGCGGACUUGUAAGUCAGUGGUGAAAUCUGUGGGCUUAACCCACAAACUGCCAUUGAUACUGCAGGUCUAGAGUACAGUUGCCGUUGGCGGAAUAUGACAUGUAGUGGUGAAAUACUUAGAUAUGUCAUAGAACACCGAUUGCGAAGGCAGCUAACGAAGCUGUAACUGACGGCUGAGGCUCGAAAGUGCGGGGAUCAAACAGG